rnacentral:misc_RNA from 1 species
UUUUUUGAAUAUUUUCUCGGUGAAUAGAUUCCAACUAUCUUCUAGACUUAGGAAAGACUUACUAUGAGGUGGAAAAUCAGGGCAGUUGACAUAAUCCGCAACAUACUUAAGCCGUGUGGUUAAUAGAAUUCGGCUUUUAUUGUCAUCAUUUGGACAUAUUGUUUGCAUUAGGUCCCAUGCCUCAGUACUCCAAAUAUCAUCUAUGACAAUUAGGAAUCUCCUACCCUUCAGACCUCUAUACACAAUCUCCAUUAGUUCAUCAUCGCUCUUUUCUUGAUUGCCUCCAGUAGUAACUGAAGAGACAACUUCAAGAAGCAUUUGCCUCUCAUUGUAUUCUUCAGAGAUAGUGACCCAUGCGAGUUUAUCAAAUCGA